rnacentral:sRNA from 1 species
UUGGGUGAGAUUUAACAAAUGCGUCAUGUU